rnacentral:rRNA from 1 species
UACGGAGGGUGCGAGCGUUGUCCGGAAUUACUGGGCGUAAAGCGUGCGCAGGCGGUUUUGUAAGCCAGAUGUGAAAUCCCCGGGCUUAACCUGGGAAUGGCAUUUGGGACUGCAAGGCUUGAGUGUGGCAGAGGGGACUGGAAUUCCUGGUGUAGCAGUGAAAUGCGUAGAGAUCAGGAGGAAUACCGAUGGCGAAGGCAGGUCCCUGGGCUGACACUGACGCUCAUGCACGAAAGCGUGGGGAGCAAACAGG